CCUACGGGAGGCAGCAGUGAGGAAUAUUGGUCAAUGGGCGCGAGCCUGAACCAGCCAAGUCGCGUGAGGGAAGACGGUCCUAUGGAUUGUAAACCUCUUUUGUCGGGGAGCAAAAGCCGCCACGCGUGGCGUUCCGAGAGUACCCGAAGAAAAAGCAUCGGCUAACUCCGUGCCAGCAGCCGCGGUAAUACGGGGGAUGCGAGCGUUAUCCGGAUUUAUUGGGUUUAAAGGGUGCGAAGGCGGAAGAUCAAGUCAGCGGUAAAAGUGAGAGGCUCAACCUCUGCGAGCCGUUGAAACUGGUUUUCUUGAGUGAGUGAGAAGUAUGCGGAAUGCGUGGUGUAGCGGUGAAAUGCAUAGAUAUCACGCAGAACUCCGAUUGCGAAGGCAGCAUACCGGCGCUCAACUGACGCUCAUGCACGAAAGUGUGGGUAUCGAACAGGAUUAGAUACCCGUGUAGUC
rnacentral:rRNA from 1 species